rnacentral:sRNA from 1 species
CGGGUUCUGCGCUUCGCGUGUCACGGGUCAAUUCCAGUGGCCUUAAGCAACUCCGAGGGAGCUGGCUCUGUCCGGGCCCUGGUCCGGUUAUCUGGCGCCCACCUGUAUAUACAGGUCCUCGGGAAUGGUACCCUACGGUCGCCGUGGUUCCCGC